AAGUGCUGUCCUUUCAUGUAGACAAUCAGUAAUUUCCUUAAAUUAUAAGUUUGUUCCAACAUUAUAUAUAUUCAGUUCCCUUUAUUUUCUUGCACUUUCCAUCUGCUGUGAGUCUUCAGAAGAGCCAUUUGCUCACAUAGAUGAGAAACAGAUGAACAUUUUACGACAUUUGCAAGUAGAGGCAGUGCCUGCGAUGAAGAUGCCAAAGAUAGAACAGACAUUUGGAGACUGGGUUGCCAACAUGAAUCUUGCUUAGAAUUUCCAUUUGUGGGGUGGGCGGUUACAGGACCAUAUGCAGCUCAUAUUACAUCAGGACGGUGGCACAGGAUAAGGAGUGGUGGGCCCCUGUGGGAAUUGCAUGUGAACAUUGAUGAAAAGAGAACAUACGCUCAUGAAAACUAAAUAAACAAAUGCAUAAAUUACUAACACAGACUGAUGGAUCUCCAUAAUCAGCAACGCAAACGCC
ensembl:lncRNA